rnacentral:rRNA from 1 species
UGGGGAAUAUUGCACAAUGGGCGAAAGCCUGAUGCAGCAACGCCGCGUGAGUGAUGAAGGCCUUCGGGUUGUAAAGCUCUGUCUUUUGGGACGAUAAUGACGGUACCAAAGGAGGAAGCCACGGCUAACUACGUGCCAGCAGCCGCGGUAAUACGUAGGCGGCAAGCGUUGUCCGGAUUUACUGGGCGUAAAGGAUGCGUAGGCGGAUUUUUAAGUGAGAUGUGAAAACCCUAAGCUUAACUUGGGGACUGCAUUUCAUACUGGAAAUCUAGAGUGCGGGAGAGGAGAAUGGAAUCCCUAGUGUAGCGGUGAAAUGCGUAGAGAUUAGGAAGAACACCAGUGGCGAAGGCGAUUCUCUGGACCGUAACUGACGCUGAGGCAUGAAAGCGUGGGUAGCAAACAGGAUUAGAUACCCUGGUAGUCCACGCCGUAAACGAUGAGUACUAGGUGUAGGAGGUAUCGACCCCUUCUGUGCCGCAGUUAACACAAUAAGUACUCCGCCUGGGAAGUACGAUCGCAAGAUUAAAACUCAAAUGAAUUGAC